AGCGUUGACUCUCUACUGGACAAAUCUGACGAGACGAGAGUAUUUAAAUGCGUUCAUGUGCGUUAAAAAGUUUCGACACUUUGACUUGACAAGUUGCGUUUAAGGAGAGGAAGAUGCGUAGAUCCGCGAGUGGCUCAAGAGUUUCAGAUCAAUUUUCCCAGGCGAAGCCGUCACACUCACGGUCCAUGAGUCGAUCUCAGAGUGUUAGACUUGUUGAAGAUGCCGAGCUGCAUUUGCCAAGGUACGACCCGAGCUCUCAAUCGGGUAAGAGAGAGGAGAAGUCACGGUCGAGAUCUGCUGAAAACGUCGUCCAUUUCAUCCCUCUUCUUCUUCUCCUCUGUGUUAUAAUCCUCUGGCUCUUCUCUCGUUCAGCGGCUGUCUUUUAAGGAGUCGAGGUUGAAGAAGCUAAAGGCUGUUACUUGUUUCCUUUGGGAAAGAACCAACUUUUUACUGCCAGGACUGGCGCCACGCAAAUGUUUUUUUCCUUUCUUUUUUUUGAAUUUUGUUUUUUCUUUUCGACAAACCAGCCUUCAUUUAUAUACCAUUGCUUUGUUAUAAAUGUGAAAUUUCACUAUGUAAUACUAUUUCUACGUCAAUACUCAAAUAUUGUAAGACAGACAAACUCAUUUUCAGCAAAU